rnacentral:rRNA from 1 species
UACAGAGGUCCCAAGCGUUGUUCGGAAUUACUGGGCGUAAAGGGCUCGUAGGUGGCCAACUAAGUCAGACGUGAAAUCCCUCAGCUUAACUGGGGAACUGCGUCUGAUACUGGAUGGCUUGAGAUUGGGAGAGGGAUGCGGAAUUCCAGGUGUAGCGGUGAAAUGCGUAGAUAUCUGGAGGAACACCGGUGGCGAAGGCGGCAUCCUGGACCAACACUGACACUGAGGAGCGAAAGCCAGGGGAGCAAACGGG